GGCUAACGCUGGCGGCGUGUCUUAGCCAUGCAAGUCGAGCGGACUUAUGGGGUAACUUAUAAGUCAGCGGCGGACGGCGGAGUAACACGUAGCUAACCUACCCUCUGGACGGGGAUAACCUACCGAAAGGUGGGCUAAUACCCGAUGUAGUCAUCCUGUAUAGGGGUGAUGAAAGGUGGGCUUCUGUUUACAAGCUCAUGCUGGAGGAGGGGGCUGCGGCCUAUCAGGUAGUUGGUAGGGUAAUAGCCUACCAAGCCGAUGACGGGUAGCCGGCCUGAGAGGGUGACCGGCCCGAGGGGCACUGAGAUACGGGUCCUACUCCUACGGGAGGCAGCAGGCUAGAAAUUUGGGCAAUGGGGGAAACCCUGACCCAGUGACGCCGCGUGCAGGAAGGAGCCCUUCGGGGUGUAAACUGCUGUCGUGUAGGGAGAAGGGCACUAAGGUGAACAAUCUUAGUACUUGACGGUACUACAGGAGGAAGCCCAGGCUAACCUCGUG
rnacentral:rRNA from 1 species